rnacentral:rRNA from 1 species
AUUGAACGCUGGCGGCAGGCCUAACACAUGCAAGUCGAACGAGUGGCGGACGGGUGAGUAAUGUCUGGGAAACGGCCUGAUGGAGGGGGAUAACUAUGGGAAACGGGAGCUAAUACCGCAUACCAUCAGAUGUGCCCAGAGGGGAUUAGCUGGUUGGUGGGGUAACGGCUCACCAGGGCGACGAUCCCUAGCUGGUCUGAGAGGAUGACCAGCCACACUGGAACUGAGACACGGUCCAGACUCCUACGGGAGGCAGCAGUGGGGAAUAUUGCACAAUGGGCGCAAGCGUGAUGCAGCCAUGCCGCGUAUAUGAAGAAGGCCUUCGAGUUGUAAAGUACUUUCAGCGGGGAGGCGUUACCCGCAGAAGAAGCACCGGCUAACUCCGUGCCAGCAGCCGCGGUAAUUC